ensembl:lncRNA
CUGAUUUACAUUUAAAUUACAAAUUACGUUUUGCUGGCAUUAAUUUACAAUGCUGCUUAAAAAAAAAAUACAUAUUCCACUGUACAUGAAUAAUAAUUCUGAGCAGUCAGAUCUUGCUGGAUUGCUAUGAUAUCUUGGCAGUGGGUGCUGCAUACUAAUAUUCCUAGGAAGUUUUCUCCCUGUGAGCGUGGUGUUUCUCCAUGCACAAGCCUUGCACAUUGUCAUGCAGCCAGCCAGCCGCCGUGCAGCCCGUUGCCAUAGGAUCUGCAGAACGAUCUGCCUGCACAUGCAUUUUUAGGAGACUGCAGCAUAGCUGCAUGAAAAAAAGGCUCUGAAACAUGUACGCUCAUUCCAGGGCCAGAACAAGGAGCUUUCUAUGAAUCACUGCAGCCUGUGAGCGUGCUAAAUGCCAAGAACUGAGUGGGAUCUGUUCAUGCCAGUAUGUGGCUGGGAGUUUUUCGAGGAACAGCAGGAAGGCUGGUGCAGCCCGGUGCACGGUCAGCUCUGCUCGCACCUCUCUGUGUUCAAUUCACCCGAUGCUGCUCUGUACUGCCCCGAUCACGUUGCAGGCUGCAGGUCAGCUCCCAUUACUUCAUCCUUGGGCUGUGUCUUUGGCUCGUGCGUGGCACCUGGGAUGUGGAGUAGCUGGGGCCGGUGGGAACCAGAGCAAGGCCGGUGUGCGGUGCUGUGUUCAGGUUGAGAAAACGUCAGUCUUGACAUUCAGAACCAUCCUCCGUACAAAAUCCACGCUCUUCUGCAAGAAGAAAGGCUGUCUGUGAAAACAAAGCACAGAAUAAAGCAGAGCCACAGUCACCCUCACUUACUCACAAGAAGCAGUGCUGAUAAAUGACUAAUAGGAGUGACUGUUCAUAAAGCUGGAUUCAUCCUUAAUUUCCUCUCUCAGAAACUUUUCAGGUUCGUGAGCAACAUCAUUUCAGCUUUACUUUCCCAGGAAGCUCCUUUCUGAUGGGAAAAGAGUUGCCUUGUAAACGUUAUAACAAAUUCACCGGGACCACAUCACAAUCCGCUCAUUUCCUCUCGGCUCCCUGAGACACAACUUGCUGCAGAAAGGAUUCAUUUGUAGUGUGUGCUUGAAACACUACAAGGAAAAUGCUCAGAACAGAGGACCUGCCUACUCUUCAAAUCCUUUUCCUUCCCAUCAGAAGUGAGGGAGAAAAGUGAGUGUCAGCAGCUUCACGGGGAUAAACCAACAGCACAUCUUGGACACAGCUAGCCAAGAAAGCAGCCCCAGAAAGGAGCACACAGAAGGAUCUCCUGGGAUUCAAGCAUACGAAGAAUAGCUGCUUGGCUUCACAUGGCACCAAGGAUUGCUCAAUGCCAUACUCUCAUAGGACCAGAAAAAAUCAAGACCUGCCCUUAUUUUGGAUGCUGGAGAGACUGAAGUACAACAUUGCUGCAGAGGUGGCCGACAGCUCAAUGGGCUGCAGUCGCAUGUCCUGACAUCCACGACUGGCCCCAGCAAGCAACCCCAAGCUGCACUGCCUGCUCCCCAGCAAUGCCAAGCUCCUUCCUGCCUGGACACCUCCAUGUCCCUCCACCCCCAAGGGUGCUUUCCAUAUCUCCUCCACCCCAGAGCACGUGGCUCAGUGAGCAGAGGGAGGAGCUGGGGAGGCAUCAGGUGGUUUUUUGCACACAGGAGGUCUGGAAUCCCAACCCUGAAUGUUUUUGUGAUCAAACAGCAAGUUUCACAGCUGCUUCUUUAGGUGUUCAUAAGCAGUAAGAUUGACAUCUCCUGAUUUCAGGUGCUGAAAGCAGAAAUAUUCAUUGGAAUACUUUGGGAGAAAAACGUCAGCUAUUUAUUAUGAAUAUAAACUAACACGUGGGCACUGUGGAUUGUUAGGGGCUUUGGGUUUGCUCCCACAUGGAGCAGGGAGGUUAAUGUGUAUUGGACAAAACCGUGGUAUACUGAAAUAAUGCACUGUUGGCCAAAACAGGCACGGCGAAUGCAGCCUGCUGUGCUGAAAACUGGGAAAGUCCCAGCGCUGCUCUCCUAGAGAGGCUCUCAGAGAAUCCAGUUUUGCUCUCCCAUCUGUGGGCUUGACUAUGCAAGCUCUCCUUCUGAAAGGACCGUUUAUGAAGACAGGCAACAGAACUGUGCUUUUCAUUUAGACGACGACAAGGCGUCCUCCACAUUAUAGGGGAAAUGUCAUUUGCAGCCCCAUGAAAGUAUCUCUGUGUAACCCUCAGAGCAAAAGCAAUUAAGAGCAACGCUUACAUCCCUUAAGAUAAAGUCUCAAUAGACCUUCUUUGCUAAUAAAACCUCUACAACAAAAUGGAUUUGAAAGGAACAUCCUGUUAAACACUGUAAUGUCGCUGGAUGAAGGAAUGCUGCUUUUUUUUCCCCUUUACGUUUCCCCUUGUGUCACACUCAGCAUUUCUCAAUAAUUCAAAAUGUAAUUAAAAUUCAGAGUCCUGAGGAUGGGAUGGAGCAUUUAUGAUUAGUUAUUGUGAAAACAGGCAUGGAAAAGUCUCAUGACUUGUUCUUAAUAAUCCGACUCCCACUUCCUCACGGUGCUGCAAUACUUAAUCGGUGACACCGGUGUGAUGGUAUCUGCAAGGUGCUAUCAGUGCUGUGACAGCAGCGAGCAGAUAGUGAGCAGUGCAGGGAGGA